rnacentral:lncRNA from 1 species
AGUAUUUUCGAAAACAACAGGGCCACGCCAUAUCCCUAUUGCAUAAUGCAAACACAUAAAGUUGAUUACAAAGUAUAUUAUUUCAUGGAAAAUUAAAACAACAUACUGAUCAUCUUCAAAAUAGAUACAAAUACAUUUUAGUGUCAAAUUAUCUUUAUUAUGAAGAUACAAUCCUAUCAAAACUCAUUCACUAUCAUCUUGUCAUCUAACAAUUUACGACUAUCUCAACUUUUAAACAACACUACAUGAUUGCAGAAAACACCUAAUGUAGACUGUAAAUGAGAUUUUUACAUUCUAGCCUAUGUUUGUCAUUUUAGUAAGCUUAAAAUUUGAAAUCGUAUCAAAAAAUGCACUGACUUCAACUGAACUAACACAAAUCUAUCACAUAUAACUUGACUGAAUAUUUUGCUGUAAACAUCCUUAAUAGUCCCUUUUAUACAAACACCAGACUCACACUUAUGCAGACAAAAUGGCUAAAACACAUAAUUUAUCUAAUAUUAUAAAGCCAAACUUAAAAGUGAAACAAAGAUAAACAAAGACAACCAAAGGAAAUCAAACUGACUACAGAAUCUGAUUCUUUGAGAAUGCAGGAAAAACCACAUUUUAUAAACUGAUAUGUUCGAUAUUUCAAUUCAACCAAAUAGCCUUGUGAUCCACCAUUUCACAUGUCAAGAAGGUGAGAAAUACCUAGAAAUAAAAGGGAAAUAAAAGAAGUGAAGAAUCAGUAGAUAACAGUAGUAGAAUAAAGCCCAGCAACAGGAAACAACCAGAAAAAACCAGCUCGAAACCAGUCAAUGGAACAGUAGAAGAAUAACAACACAUAACUCAAUCUUCAAGCCAAACUUAAACAUUUUCUCAAACCAGAAAUGUAACUACAGAGUUUUCAAGAGUUCUAACCAACAAAGGAGAAUCAGAAAUCCAAAACAAGCAGAACUUUGGUAGUUUUUAACAAACAAAUGCAGGAAAUUCAGUACUAUUUUCAGAGCCAGCCAUUUCAGUUUUUCAGGGUUUUUUAUCUCUAACAAUCUAAAUUGCUACAAAAGAAAAAGUGCCUUUAUAGGCAAGUCUUAGGGUUUCAAAAAUGAGCUAAGUUUUUGCACCUAAAACCUUUUCAAAUUUUUAUUUUGCUUAGAUAUCCUUAGUGUAAAAAUCUGAUAUUCUUGAAGUCCCAAAGCUAUCAUGAUAAAUCAGUUAUUAGAGAUUCUCCUAGCCUAAAUACCUAAACCCCCACAACUUGAACCUCUGUGUUUUACUUCUGAAACCAGGCAGAUAUGGGUCAUGGGUCAAAUUGACCCAAUAGUUCAAGCCAGCAAGAACUAGGCUAAUCCCUUUUAUUUGGACUCAAGUCCAAGUCAGAAAUCCAAUAGAUAAAUCGAGAAGGCAGAAAAAUAAAGGGAAAUUUGGAGUCAAUUGGACUUGCUGAACUAAAUGGUCUUAACAGCCCAAAACUAAAGGGAAAACCAAACGAAAACAAACCUAACGAAUCCAAAUAAAACUAACGAAGAUAACAAUUAACAUUUAACCUAAGCUAAAAGAAACACAUGCAAGGAUGAUUUUGAGAAAAUAGAAUAAAAAGAAGAAAAUAGAAGAAGACAAGAAAAAUGGAAAUGAGAAAAUACUAAAAAUGCCUUUCAAUGGGAACUUUGAUUUCUGACUAUAAUAGACUUAAUCGUGUGUUCUCAAAUGAAAACACGCAAAUAAAGUCUAUUUCAAUAUCAAAUCUUCAAAUAGACUUGCUAAUUUGGCAUUUGGAAUUUUGGGGUUCGAGCUUUCAUUUAAGAUUCGAAGGGUUAUGGGGUAAUUCGAGGGAAAAGGGUUAGGGAUUGGGGAAGAGGAGGUGAAGGGGGUUUUGUGGUGUGGAUUUUGGCCAAUUUGGUAGUGGCGCCGCCACCGGAGAACACUAGGGUGGCGCUAGGGUUUUGUUCUAUAUCUGCAAAGGGGGUGAGAUGAGAGAGAUGAGUUU